rnacentral:rRNA from 1 species
AAUGAACGUUGGCGGCGUGGAUUAGGCAUGCAAGUCGAACGAGAUCUGUAGCAAUACAGUGAAAGUGGCGAAAGGGAGAGUAAUACGUAGGUACCUGCCCUCGGGUCUGGGAUAGCUGCGGGAAACUGCAAUUAAUACCGGGUGACGUCUCUGGACCAAAGGUGUGAUUCCGCCAGGGGAUGGGCCUGCGUCCUAUCAGCUGGUUGGUGUGGUAAUGGCGCACCAAGGCUAAGACGGGUACGGGGUGUGAGAGCAUGCCCCCGCUCACUGGGGCUGCGAUACUGCCCAGACACCUACGGGUGGCUGCAGUCGAGAAUCUUCCGCAAUGGGCGCAAGCCUGACGGAGCGACGCCGCGUGUGGGAUGAAGGCCUUCGGGUUGUAAACCACUGUCAGUGGGGAGCAAAUGCAUCAGGGUUCUCCCUGGUGUUUGAGCGAUCCGCAGAGGAAGCACAGGCUAAUUCCGUGCCAGCCGCCGCGGUAAUAC